GCUGGGUGUGGUGGUGCACGCCUGUAAUCCCAGCUACUCAGGAGGCUGAGGCAGAAGAAUCGCUUGAACCUGGGAGGCGGAGGUUGCAGUGAGCUGAGAUCGCGCCACUGCAUUCCAGUCUGGGUGACAGAGCGAGACUCCGUCUCAA
ensembl:misc_RNA Metazoa_SRP Metazoan signal recognition particle RNA